CUUAACCGGGCGUUAAGUUGCAGGGUAUAGACCCGAAACCCGGUGAUCUAGCCAUGGGCAGGUUGAAGGUUGGGUAACACUAACUGGAGGACCGAACCGACUAAUGUUGAAAAAUUAGCGGAUGACCUGUGGCUGGGGGUGAAAGGCCAAUCAAACCGGGAGAUAGCUGGUUCUCCCCGAAAGCUAUUUAGGUAGCGCCUCGUGAAUUCAUCUCCGGGGGUAGAGCACUGUUUCGGCUAGGGGGCCAUCCCGGCUUACCAACCCGAUGCAAACUGCGAAUACCGGAGAAUGUUAUCACGGGAGACACACGGCGGGUGCUAACGUCCGUCGUGAAGAGGGAAACAACCCAGACCGCCAGCUAAGGUCCCAAAGUCAUGGUUAAGUGGGAAACGAUGUGGGAAGGCCCAGACAGCCAGGAUGUUGGCUUAGAAGCAGCCAUCAUUUAAAGAAAGCGUAAUAGCUCACUGGUCGAGUCGGCCUGCGCGGAAGAUGUAACGGGGCUAAACCAUGCACCGAAGCUGCGGCAGCGAACGUAUCACCCAAGACAACUUUACGGAGUUGACGAUUGACGGAGCGAAGCGACGUCAAAGCGUUCAUUAAAGUCGAGUUGGCUUAGGGAUACGUUCGUUGGGUAGGGGAGCGUUCUGUAAGCCUGUGAAGGUGUGUCGUGAGGCAUGCUGGAGGUAUCAGAAGUGCGAAUGCUGACAUAAGUAACGAUAAAGCGGGUGAAAAGCCCGCUCGCCGGAAGACCAAGGGUUCCUGUCCAACGUUAAUCGGGGCAGGGUGAGUCGACCCCUAAGGCGAGGCCGAAAGGCGUAGUCGAUGGGAAACGGGUUAAUAUUCCCGUACUUGGUGUUACUGCGAAGGGGGGACGGAGAAGGCUAUGUUGGCCGGGCGACGGUUGUCCCGGUUUAAGCGUGUAGGUGUGUGUUCCAGGUAAAUCCGGUUCACUUUAAC
rnacentral:rRNA from 1 species